UAGGGAUUCCACUGCUGUGUUUAAAAAAACAUGAGCAUCUCCUCUGGAUCGAUUAUGUCGGUCUGACAAAGUAGGUUCGAUCAUGUAGUGAGGUGAAUACUAAGGCUUUUUGACUAACCCUCAAAUUGUUCUGUCAGAGAUCUUCGAAUGAUAUGUGACUGAGCAGCAUAUUAAUUACAGAGUUUUGGAUUGCACCUCGCCUUGGACUAAUUGCAUAGUGUGUGGUUGUUAAUGCACAAUGGUGCACUCGGAAUAACCACAUAGAGGCAGAUUAAUGAUGUCUACACCGUGACGUUCCAAACGUCAAACACCUUGCAGAAAUCUGUCUAUUUUUAGCCGUCCACCUGUGAUCAUAGAGACGCACCAUAUCACAAUGAGUUAUACCUUGAUGCCACUACUACAGCAUCAUAGGUGAGUCAGAUGUGUUUACCUGGCCCCUUGACAUUGGCAGGCACCCCAGAGUGUGGACUCCCUGCAUCCCUCCAUGUUAACGAUCACAUCAAAGGGAAAACAACAAGUGGUACAAAAUGGCCGACGCAAUUAGGAUCUGUGCUUAGCCAACACAUCAGUAGGGUGCUGAAUGCCAAAUGAGGCCCUUGUGCACAGGGAGUCUGAACUUGUUCUCCAAUUCAGACAAGACUUACAAGGCCUCCGAGCUGUGAGAGAACAUCCAAGG
ensembl:lncRNA